AUGGUGGCUGGGACCCUGUGCACAUAUCCUGAAAACUGAAGGACCUUCAAGGCCCUCAUCGCUGCUCAGUAUAGAGGGGCUCAGGUCCGUGUGCUCUCCACACCACACCAUUUCCACUUUGGCCAAACCAACCUCACCCCUGAAUUUCUCCGCAAAUUUCCUGCCGGCAAGAUUCCAGCAUUUGAGGGUGACGAUAAAUUCUGUGUGUUUGAGAGCAAUACCAUUGCCUACUAUGUGAGCAAUGAGGAGCUGCAGGGAAGUACUCCAGAGGCAGCAGCUCAGGUGGCGCAGUGAGUGAGCUUUGCUGAUAGCGAUAUAGUGUCCCCAACCAGUACCUGGGUGUUCCCCACCUUGAGCAUCAUGCAGCACAACAAACAGGCCACUGAGAAUGCAAAGGAGGAAGUGAGGCGAAUUCUGGGGCUGUUGGAUGCUCACUUGAAGACAAGGACUUUUCUGGAGGACAUUGGCUGACAUCACAGUUGUCUGCACCCUGUUGUGGCUCUAUAAGCAGAUCCUAGAACCUUCUUUCUGCCAGGCCUUUCCCAAUACCAACCGCUGUUCCUCACCUGCAUUAACCAGCCUCAGCUCUGCACUGUCUUGGGGAAAGCAAAACUAUGUGAGAAGAUGGCCCAGUUUGAUGCUAAGAAGUUUGUAGAGAGCCAGCCUAAAAAGGACACACCACGGAAAGAGAAGGGGUCACAGGAAGAGAAGCAGAAGCUCCAGGCUGAGCAGGAGGAGAAAAAGGUGGCUGCCCCUACUCCUGAGGAGGAGAUGGAUGAAUGUGAGCAGGCGCUGGCCGCUGAGCCCAAGGCCAAGGACCUCUUUGCUCACCUGCCCAAGAGUACCUUGGUGUUGGAUGAAUUGAAGCUCAAGUUCUCCAACGAGGAUACAUUCUCUGUGGCACUGUCAUAUUUCUGGGAGCACUUUGAUAAGGACGGCUGGUCCCUGUGGUACUCAGAGUAUCACUUCCCUGAAGAACUCACUCAGACCUUCAUGAGCUGCAAUCUCAUCACUGGAAUGUUCCAGUGACUGGACAAGCUGAGUAAGAAUACCAUUGCCAGUGUCAUCCUCUUUGGAACCAACAAUAAGCAGCUCCAUUUCUGGAAUCUGGGUCUUCCGAGGCCAGGAGCUUGCCUUUCCACUGAGUCCAGAUUGGCAGGUGGACUACGAGUCAUACACAUGGCAGAAACUGGAUCCUGGCAGCGAGGAGACCCAGACACUGGUUUGAGAGUACUUUUCCUGGGAGACAGCCUUCCAGCAUGUGCACAAAGCCUUCAAUCAGGGCAAGAUCUUCAAAUGAACAUCUCUUGCAAUCACCUAGCUGCCUGAACCUGCCCUUCAGGGAGAUGGAGGUCAUUAAAGAAAACUGAACAUUGAAAA